rnacentral:tRNA from 1 species
GGAAGAGAAACGUCCCUGGUGGGGCGCCCGGGCUUCAAACCCGGUGGAUUGCGCCACGCGCGGUCGGUAGGUUCGACUCCUGCUCUCCUCCG